ensembl:lncRNA
UGGCUCAUGUAGUUAAUCACAGAGAUUUAAGACAAAAGUACUUCCCUGACAAGUAUUUGGAUGAGUGGGAAAUAACCACAAAUGGGAGCAGAGCCUUGCAGACUUUGUCCUGCUGGACUGAGCAGUGCUGUAAUUCCUUUCUUUCCAAAUCCAGGGCUGUCAAAUUCCAUUGGAAUUGUCCUGAACAACAAAGUCAGCAUCUUUCUGGUCUGAAGCCAGACUGCAAAGCGAGGGGGCAGAGAGGGAAAAGUUGUCUCUGGGACAAGUGGUACCUCCUGCUGGUGACCAUUUCUUGCUGAUACUGGAAUAAUCAGGCAGAAGUGAAGGAGCACAUGGAGGCAUGUAAAAAACCCACAAGGAUCUAGAAAGGAGAUGGAUUAUCCAGCACUAGAGAAUUCCUCUCUGUCCAUGCUAUUUGUGUUUCUUCCCCAACUUUGACAGGUUGAAUGGCUCCUUCUUUUUGUCUGGGAAAUGAGCAGCUUCUAUUGUCCUUACAGAGAUUUCCAGGUCCUUUGUCCAGUGACUACAACUUUAAAGGAACUGCAUCCAGGAGGAAACACCUGAAGACACAAGAAGGCAGAGGAGAGAAGGGUGGUUUGGCUGCAAAUAGAGAAGAGCUGCUCUUUGGUGUAGUUAAAGUGCACUCACUGCAGCAAGCCUGCACAUGCUUCAGGGUUUCACAGAUGCUACUUCAAAGAAAAGAAGGAAAAAGAAAGUUUAAUUUUUCUAAGACAACUUUUUUGGAUGAAGUUUGGAGGACAGCCCCUAUUUACUCAUUGAUGAAGGCAUGUCCCAGAAAAAUCAAAGCAGAGUCUAAAAACCUUCAAAAACAAAGCUCUAAGAUCGAAACCUUCCAACACCAUGACCCAGAUGCACUGUCACAGCUUUUCAACACAGGCUAAAAAAAGGCAAAAUCAGAAAUAACAGCUUCAAAAGGAAGUAAAAAACAACACUGAUAUCCAGAAUAGAACAAAGAUACAGAUCAAUAGAAAAAAGUUUCGAGCUGUCUCCAAUAGUUGAAACAUCCUGAGAGUAGGUUUCCCAAAAUACACUUCCAAAUGCUGGUGGGUAAAACCUCUAUCACACACAUUACAUAGUGUGGUAAUUACUGAGGUUGGGAUGGCUGUACUAAAGCCCUCCAGCAAAGAGACAGAAAGUAAGUCUGGAGACAAAACAAAGAGAGAAAAGGGGGAAAAAUCUAUGUGUGUUUUGGUGUCAGGAAGAGAUGUGAGAAAGGAGGGAUGACUUCAUAUCAUCCCUCCUUUCUCACAUCCCUCUUUCUCCAUAACCAAAAGCCACAUAUUUUGCUGUGGCUUUUGGUUUGUUGUUUUUUUGUAAAAAAAAUCUUUGGUCAUGCAUAGGUAUGAUGCAAUGGUUACUCAUUCCUUCUGCAAAACUUCAUGCUGCUCCUGAAGUAAUCCUUCUGGACUAGCCAUGAGAGCUAAGCACAGACCACUGAUUUGUGAAAAAACGUUGCAAAAUCAUGGAGAAACACUGAUUCCUUUUACAGUUUUUCCAAAUGUGGACUGCAGAGUCCCAUUCUGCAGUACUUGCCCAUAUAUUUGAUUUCAAACAGGUCUUCUGUGCCCAUGGAUUGACUGAAUUCUGCACACUGUCCUAAAUUGUACUUCAAUUGAAUUAAACUGGAUGAAUGGUAUCAGAGCUCCCUCAAGCCUUCACAAGCACCAUUUUGACCUUCAGUGCUCAAAUUUGGGUGGUGUUGUUGAGGUUUAAGCAUUUGACAAUCACCAGGUCACCAGCUGCUGUGAGCGCUGGGAAGGACUCAAGUGUUCCAGCUCAUGAGAAGAAUGGCUCCUCAGUCAUUUUCACCUUCCUAUCAUAUUAAUGAAGCACUGGACACUGCAAGUUUGGGACAGAACAAGUUUCACUCUGCCCUGGAAG